rnacentral:rRNA from 1 species
CCUACGGGAGGCAGCAGUGAGGAAUAUUGGUCAAUGGGCUUACGCCUGAACCAGCCAAGUCGCGUGAGGGAAGACUGCCCUAUGGGUUGUAAACCUCUUUUGUCAGGGAGCAACGCCGGCUACGUGUAGCCGUACUGAGAGUACCUGAAGAAAAAGCAUCGGCUAACUCCGUGCCAGCAGCCGCGGUAAUACGGAGGAUGCGAGCGUUAUCCGGAUUUAUUGGGUUUAAAGGGUGCGUAGGCGGAAUGCCAAGUCAGCGGUAAAAUCGCGGGGCUCAACCUCGCUCCGCCGUUGAAACUGGCGUUCUUGAGUGGGCGAGAAGUAUGCGGAAUGCGUGGUGUAGCGGUGAAAUGCAUAGAUAUCACGCAGAACUCCGAUUGCGAAGGCAGCAUACCGGCGCCCAACUGACGCUGAAGCACGAAAGCGUGGGUAUCGAACAGGAUUAGAUACCCCAGUAGUC